UUAUGUGGUGUUUGUUCAGGGUCUUUAUUCUCCCUCUUCCAACCACUUGCUCUUUGCCUUCUGACCAUUUCUUUAUGAAUCCCCACACUAGGAAUGAGCAGAGGAAGUAAAAGGACCCGAAACACCAACUUCACUAACUAGAAUUUUGGAAUAAGGAGGAUCAAGCUUGGGUUUCCUGUGGAUUUCAGUUCUUUAGGUUCACUUGUGAGUGCUUGAAAUUGCUCACAAGACCAAGCGAUGACAAAGAGGGCCAGCAAGACUUUGCAUUGCUUUGGCAGAGGAGCUGAAGGUGCCUUUGGGUGGAGAUCGAUGAACCGUAAUCUGAGCUAGGGUUUUAGAUCUUGACCUGUCAUUUAGGAAAGUGCAUGUGUAAAUUGAGGUCUCUGUGGUUUCUUGGUCUUGGGCAGGUUACUGUUUUCACUGUCAUCACUGGUGUUAGUGAGGGUCCUGCCAGGAUAGCGAGUACCAGUGGUAUAAUGCCCAGACCUCUAGGAGCUGCUUCGGGCCAACAAUCCAGCCCAGUUUGUUACUCGGUCUUCCUGCUGUCCCAGGGGUCAUCUGACAACAUUUCUAGGGAAACUGGGUGAUCAGAAUAUGAACCCCAUGUCCCUUUCUGGAAGUCAAUCCUUGAUUUUGUUCUGCAUCCUGCUUCUCACUCUACCAGGCCUCUCUCUGCUGGUUCUGUUUCUCACAGAAAGCAACCUGUCUGUAGAGAACUGGUAGAGGCCUGAGAGUCAGGAGUAUUACAGCUAGCUGCAAUGAACCUUGGGUCCCUUAUUUUACACAUGAAGAAAAGGAGGCCUCAGGUGGAGGAUUAGCUUGCCUGUGGUUACAGCAAGAGAUGUCGCUUAUUGUCUAGCACCAUGGGACUGUAUCGGCCAAGGGUGGUGCCUGAGUGGCUGGUCUUGUUUUCUUUGCCUCCUGUUUCUUUUCCUCUCCCUCAGCCAAGUCUCAGGAUAGAUGCGAAGUAUAGUCCGGUUAGAGAAGGUGAAUAUAUGCUCUGGGUUAUACGCCUAUGCAUGUCAGGUCCUGGGAGUGUGUGUGAUGCAUGGUGUUCCGAUAGGCAGGCAUGAGUCUGUCCAUAUGUGGUUAUGAAGUUUCUCAAUAGCUGAUGGUUAGGUAUCACGAGUCAGGAGUCCUGUGAGUCCUACUCUGUUGGACAAAGUGGUCAUCUUUUUUCUUUGCUAACUUUAAGUUGAAAGUUUGUUUGAGGGGCUAGUUGGAAAGGCAUUGACUUUAAGCAAGAUCCGUGCCUCUGGACAUAAUGAACAGGCAUCUCAUGGGAACUUCCCACCACUGCCCUGGACAGGCUAAGCUUCAGAGGCCAGUUAGUCGUAAGUUUUAUUGCUUCAUCCUGGUCUGCAGUAAGGUCUGAUACUUCAGUGUCCCCAUUUGGGAACUGAGACAUCUGCCUAGAAGAAGAGUGUAAUCUUGCACUCGUCUAAGGGAUCAGGACCACAUUGCCCUCGGUGGACUGCUGCACUUUUUUGGAGAUUUCCUCCCUUCAAAAAAAGCCUACUUUGUAACAUUUUGUCAUCUGAGAUUUCAGAUACCACCUUUUCUUUAGUUUCUCACCUGUUUAGGCAUUUAGGCAUGCUGGUCUGUGGCUAAUGGUGUUUCAGAUAGGAAGGAUGGAUAUGUCUUUAUCUACAGCAGAAGUUAGUUACCCUUUCAUGAGGUGAUUAGUUUACUUCUAGGUGGAAAAAGAGAGGACUUUGAACUUGGUGUUGUCACAGGAGCUGCUCUCAUGGACAAGAGCCCAUGGAUUUUGUGGAGGAAGAAUGUGUAGGAAACAAGGAGAAAAAUCAGAAGACUUUGCACCUGUCAGGGAAGAACUAGUGAAGAGCAAAAACCAGUGUUUUAGUGGAUGAAAUACAGUUCCGAGGGUUUGGAAUUAGGGAAGAGAUGGCCUCAGAGAGGAGCAUGGAGACCAUGGGAGGUAGACCUGACUUGAUACUUGUUGGCCAUUUUAAGAACCAGGUAUGUGUGAAGCCUUACCACAGGGAUCAGAGGAGCAGGAGCAGUUGAUGGUGACUCUGUAUUUAACCAUUUGAGAAACUGCCAAACUGUUCUCUAAAGUGGCUGUACCAUUUUACAUGUCUACCAGCAGUGUAUAAGAGUUCCAGUAUCUGCAUCCUUGUCAACACUUGUUAUUGUCUUUUUAAAGUUAUUAAAGCCAUUCUGUUGGGUGUGAAUUCGU
rnacentral:lncRNA from 1 species